rnacentral:tRNA from 1 species
GAGAGAGGUAUGCCAGCAACGAAGACUGCUAAUCUUCGCCACCUUGGGUUGAAUCCCAAGGCUCACUCG